rnacentral:misc_RNA from 1 species
UAAAUCUUGUAUGCGUAACCUAGCCAGAAUCAGUUAAAUUUUCCUUCUUUACAAACUAUUUCUUCCACUGUUCAUGAGUGCAAAUACACUAGCAUCUAACUGUUCAUUUUCAACUUUGUUCUAUAACUUUUGUAUUAUCUCAUUUACAAACAUCUAUUAUCCGUGUGAUUGAUGUUUUCCCCUUCGAAACUAGAUUAGUUGAGAAAUAUCUGAAGGGUUAUUGACUGAUAAUGUCAAUCCAAGUUCAGUUCCCAUAAAUACUAGAUACCUACCGUGCUUCAUCUUUUUUCCUUCUUGAAUUUUCCUUGCACUUGUGAACUAUAGUCUGUUUUGAUCAAGAUUUCCUUUUCUCCAUUUACCUUCUCUUCGAUGUAGGGAAAUUGGGGUUUAUAUAGAUCUCUAGUGUUAUA